GUGAACAACAACCUAGCUAGCUAUUCAUAUUGAAUGUAAAUCAUGCAAGUUGCGGCCUAACAUGGACAAAUGAGUAAUGGCUGAUUGGCCUCCUCGAUCUCCUAUUUGCUUUAAAAUAUUGAAAAAAUAGGUGAAUUUUUCGUGUAUAAAUAGAAUAGAAUGCAAGGGAAGAGGGGAAAAUUACCCGAGCUAGCUACACUUAAUAUAUAAUUUCACAGUUGAGAGCAGAGUAUACAUUAAAGAUGAUGCAGAAGCAGACGUUGGCGAUAGCUCUGGCGUGGCUCCUGGUUGCGUCGUCAAUCAUGAUGUGCGAGUACGCAGCUGCAGACACUACUCCAUUGAAAACUGCUGACCAAGUUCUCCAUCCCCUAGCAGGUAAGAACCAACAUCCGAUCCUUUUGCUUUCGCAUCUGAUAUUCUGCAUGCAUAGUAUAUAUAUAUAUAUAUAUAUAUAUAUAUAUAUAUAUAUCUUGAAUGCAUGCAUGCAUGUGCAUUUACGUAAUAUAUAGUAAUUUAGAGUGUAUAUAUAUAUAUAUAGAGAGAGAGAGAGAACUAACUAUAUAUGCUUGCUAAUGGAUACAAUAUACACUACUUGAAGGUUGUCGCUGCUGCAACUUCAUUCGUGUGAAAGGGUUUAUCCAAUGCGGAACAGUUUGUUGUGUGGAUGGAUGUUGCGGUCGCAAGUGAAGCACCUGCAAUGCAGCUACACAGACAAUAAUAUGAAUCAUGGUGGUGGUGUUGCACAAUAAGAUGAAUAAUGGUGGUCAAAAGUUGCAACAUCGCUGAAGCAAUCAAAGCCCCCCUUAUAGAUUUCCCUGUUUGUUUGUUUUGCAUUCCUAUCGAGUUAUAUAAUGUUUGUCGAAAAGAUCCUGUUUAAUGAAAAAUUAAUGUCUGGAAAUCUGGGUGUUUCAGCAGGAUUUCUUUACGUUGAUGUAUCAUGUAUGUAUGUCUACAUGAGGAUAUAUCUAUCUAUAUAAAAGCGAUCGACUCGUUAAUCUAAAAGUAUCAUUCAUUUCAAGAGUUUGAUUCACAAUCUGUCAUGCCUACUAAUUUCAAGGAACAACUAGAUGAACUGCUGACACAAGAAAAACUGUUUAUGCUCCAUACCAACCCAAACAUACAAAACUGCACCUUUUUAUAGUCAUUUCAUGAUACUUACUUACCAUAUGAAUACAGAGUAUAAAACCCCCUUUUUUUGGAAUACAAAGUUUAAAAAUAGAUCAAUCAUUCUCAAUGGGAUCGAUUCUUAUUUGCAUUAAUUAAUACAUAAAUAUUUUUUGCAGUAAGAUUUUCUUCAGGGACAGAGCCAGAAUUUGUUCUUUGGAGGGACCAAAAAUUUUUUUAACAUCAUAAAAUAUAUUCAUUACUAAAAAGUAAAAUUUCACUAUUACAAAACAUAUUUUUACUAAAACAAAAAUAAUAUAUUAAUAGAAUUUGCUUUGACAAAGAUAAUGAAACAUAGAAAAAAAAAGUAUUUUAAAACAUAUCAAAACUUCGUCAAAACUUGGGGAGCUAUAGUCUUGCACAAUUUUCAAAACAAACUAAAUGUACAAGUGAAUUUUAUAAAUUUUCAAACUUUGGGGUGAAUCUUACUGUUAACACCAAGAUCUUCUGUCACGUCCCAAUCACGUAAGACAUUCUGAUCAUGCACAAUAAACACAGUCAACACCAAAAGCUUGACGGCUUGACCGUCGGGGGAUAGCUCCGGCGUGAGAGUCAGUACAGACGAUCACAAGGUUAACAAUGACGGAAUAAAUAUCUAGUGACUUAAGAGCAAUAAUUAAUUAGUUACCUUUCACCGUGUGUCAUCCUUGCUUUAUAUCCCCAAAGUCCGGUUUGUCAUGUAUGCAACUGACUUUUCGGGCCCACCGUUUUUAGCCAACUAAGCCCUGUCCAAUCCUCAUUAAAUGCAAUGCAGAGAUGAUAGUCAAAGUUCUAUCCCCAAUCUACACCGGUCAAAGCCCAAGUGGAACCAUACUCAUCUAGUAAUUCGGCCCACUGUCACAGCCCAAUAUUUCAUAAGCCCCAAAAUAAAGAUAAUAUCCACCCAAUGGGUUAGCCCAAUGAACCGGCCUAAUACUUUCAAGACCCACCUCAACAUGUUUAAAGUAUUAUGGCCCAACACUUACAAAAAUUUCAAACCUUAGGGGGGCCGUGGCCCCCUCCAACCUCCAUGUAGCUCCGUCCCUGAUUUUCUUUUUGGUUGCCUGUGACAUCACACCAUGGGAUCGACAUUCUUCUCAUCAUUAUACUUUUUGUUGACCGUGUAUAAUUGCACGUAUUUACUGAUUGCGAAAUUGGACAACAAGAUUUAUAAAAGGCAAGCAAAUUCAAUCCAAUAGUAACGAUCAAGAUUAAAAAAAGUUGAAUUGUUCUCAAACUCACAAGAGAUCUACUGUACGAUAUAGAACAACAUGUUCUGUUGCUAAGUCUUUCAUUACUAACUUCAAGCUACUUAGCAACACCCCAAAUCACACUAUCUCUUAGUGAUUGUUUAGGUCUUAGUGAUCCAUUGUAUCCAAGUCUUAGUGACUUGAAGAGUUCUUAGUGAUCUACUGUAUGUAAGUGUUUGUGACUUGAAGAAAUUUUAGUGAUUUAUUGAGUGCAACUAUUAUAUGUGAACAUCUGUGUGAUCAGUCAUCCUUAGUGAAAAAGUAGAAGAGUGAACUAUAAAACCUUUGUAUUCUGAAUCAUUUAAAAUUUGUGUGUCCCCUUUAUAUUCUGCACUUACUUUUCUGUCAACUUCUUUAAUUUGUUUGAGAUUUAAUUCCAAUUGAUUGCUAAAUUCAAAAUUACAAAUUCUUUCAAAUUUUUGAAGGGAUUUUUCAAAUUAUUAUUCCGCAAUGCAUAAUUAUAAAUUAAUCUGCUUAAUUUAUAAAUCGGUAAUAAUUUCUUUUAAAAAAAUUUAAAAUCUAUUUAACCCACCUCUAAAUCUCUUGGUGCAUUUGGAAUAUAACAAAAACUUUGACACUUCCUGUGGGUUCUAUCCAGUGGAAAGAUAAUCACAAAAAUUUCUCUAGUCAAAGGGCAGAUAUGUAAAACGAAAGGGCCUACCUUACCCACUUUUAAGUCGCAAGUAAAUUGCCUUAAAUAUUUAAUAACUUGCAAAAGUGACUCCAAUAGAAAGAUUUCUAUCUAUCAAUCUGGCAAACGUGGAAUUCACUACUGAGGAGUAAUGGGAAAUGGACUCGAGUCAUGGGAAACGUGGAAUUCCAAAUGGAUGAUUUCAUUUAUUUUAAAUUAUUUAUCGUUUUAUAUAAUUUACAAGAAUUAAUUACAAUUUUUUUUAAAAUUACUUCUCAUAAAAAAUUGUUAUAGAUGUGAAAUAAAUAUGAUAAUAAAUGAGAAUUUAAACGUAUUAUAAAUAUUUGAUAUUAUAUUUAAUCAUUUAUUUAAUUCUUGUACACAACUUUAAAACAUCAGAAAGGGGACCAUGCUCGUGAGUUUUUUCACUUCAAUUACCAAGAGAAACCAAUUAGGAAAUGACCGACAAGCAGGCCUAUGGAAUAUCUUUAAAAUAUGAGUAAUGCUACAAACACAAACUAUUUUACAAAUAUUUUACAAACUGCUGAUGUGGCAUACUCCACAUCACCAUAUUGAUUAACGACUUGUUUAAAUAUAGUCUUCGGCCCCACACAAUAUGCUGAGAUGGAAUACUUUGUGUCUUUAGCAUUAUUCUUAAAAUAUUAUUCGACUAUAAAUAAAAUAAAAUAAAAUAAAAACACAACAACUUGAACGUACGUCAAGACAAGACAAUAGUCAAGGACUUAUUGAUUCUUGUUUUGUGGAAGAAUAUAAGUACACUUGGGUGAACAACACCCAAGCUAUUGAUAUUGAAUGUGAAUGUAAAUCAAGUUGCGGCCUAACAUGGACAAAUGAGUAAUGGCUGAUUGACCAGCUGGAAAUUAAGAAUCGCUCUCCUCAAUCUCCUAUUUGCUUUAUAAAUAGAAUGCAAGAGAAGAGGGGAAAAUUAUAUACCCGAGCUAGCUAGCUACACUUGAUAAUUUCACAGUUGAGAGUAGAGUAUACAUUAAAGAUGAUGCAGAAGCAGACGUUGGCGAUAGCUCUGGUGUGGCUCCUGGUUGCGUCGUCAAUCAUGAUGUGCGUGUUCGCAGCUGCAGACACUACUCCAUUGAAAACUGCUGACCAAGUUCUCCAUCCCCUAGCAGGUAAGAACCAACAUCCGAUCCUUUUGCUUUCGCAUCUGUUCUACAAAUUAAUAUUAAUCUGCAUGCAUACUAACUAUAUAUGCUUGCUAAUGGAUACAUAUAUAUACACUACUUGAAGGUUGUCGCUGCUGCAACUACAUUAAAGUGAGAGAGUUUUUCAAUUGCAACAAAGUUUGUUGUGUGGAUGGAUGUUGCGGUCGCAAGUGAAGCACCUGCAAUGAAGCUACACAGACAAUUAUAUAUAAUAUGAAUCAUGGUUGUGUAGUUGCACAAUAAGAUGAAUAAUGGUGGUCAAAAGUUGCAACAUCUCUGAAGCAAUUAAUCAACCNNNNNNNNNN
rnacentral:lncRNA from 1 species